GGCUCGAUGGCGGACGGUCCGCGUCUGCACUGCCUGUUUGCUUCUGCCACUCAUCCCAGGCAGAAGAUCCCCGUUCGACUCGGGGUCGAGCCA